AGUCUAGCAAGUAGCAAUGUGGUUGCUAUAUCGGCAAACAUUUUUGUUAGUGUUCUGCUUUUGGCAUGCGUAUUUGCUCAUUAACUUGAUGUGUGAUUGUGUGAUCGUUAAAUUUGAAAUAGACCCUUCCAAAAAGUACGUCACAUUGGCUAUCGUGCCUCCUUUUCGUGGUUGAGAUGCUUGGAGUUAACUAAUCUCACGCACACAAAAAUAUUUUUAUAGCCCAAAUUACAUACUAUCUGAAAGGGUGUAUUAGUUAACACAAUCACAUUGAAUGUUUGGGUUCUUCUGUUAUAUCAAGACCACCAGAAUUAUAAUCUUAAUUUUCUUAUUAAAUACCACCAGGGUGCCCCCCCCCUUUCCUUGUUAAAGAUGCUCUGUAUUGUUAAUGUUUGGUAUGUAAGGUAAAGCAAUUGCGUCCAAUCCAAUUUGGGACUGAAAAAAAAAACUAAGCAAAGGUGAGUAGUUACAAAUCGGCCGCUUAUGUUAGAUGUAUUAAAGCCCUAAACCUCCUGACCUAUUAUAAAAAAUCAAAGUUUAAUUCAAACACUUCAAGCUAAAAUUAUUGCCGUUUUGGCAAGGCG